AUCCAACCGACGAGUCCCAAGUAGGACGAAAUGAGCAUAUUGGAU
rnacentral:hammerhead_ribozyme from 1 species